rnacentral:rRNA from 1 species
GUAGGGUGCGAGCGUUAAUCGGAAUUACUGGGCGUAAAGCGUGCGCAGGCGGCUUUGCAAGACAGAUGUGAAAUCCCCGGGCUCAACCUGGGAACUGCAUUUGUGACUGCAAGGCUAGAGUACGGCAGAGGGGGAUGGAAUUCCGCGUGUAGCAGUGAAAUGCGUAGAUAUGCGGAGGAACACCAAUGGCGAAGGCAAUCCCCUGGGCCUGUACUGACGCUCAUGCACGAAAGCGUGGGGAGCAAACAGGAUUAGAUACCCUGGUAGUCCACGCCCUAAACGAUGUCAACUGGUUGUUGGACGGCUUGCUGUUCAGUAACGAAGCUAACGCGUGAAGUUGACCGCCUGGGGAGUACGGCCGCAAGGUU